rnacentral:lncRNA from 1 species
AUACUUCACGGAGAUAAUUGUAUCACCAUCAAUAUGCACCUUCUUUGCAACAACACCUGCAUCAUCAUUCCCAUGGACGAUCAGAAGGUGGCUCUCCUCCUCCCCCAAAGCAACACCCAUAUUACCACUAUCAUGGUUGAUUUGAGGAUAGUUCUUGUCCACCUCACCUCAACUGAUGUUAGCAACAUCGCUGCCUAAGGCAAUGAUGACCCACUAAGGCAAGGAUGACCCAGCCAUCUCCAAGAACCAUGUCUCUACCAAGGGCAAUGUAAGAGAUGGCCUAUUCGACCCUCCUCGAGAUCCAUGUC